rnacentral:rRNA from 1 species
UACGUAGGGUGCAAGCGUUAAUCGGAAUUACUGGGCGUAAAGCGUGCGCAGGCGGCUAUGCAAGACAGAUGUGAAAUCCCCGGGCUCAACCUGGGAACUGCAUUUGUGACUGCACGGCUAGAGUGUGUCAGAGGGGGGGUAGAAUUCCACGUGUAGCAGUGAAAUGCGUAGAGAUGUGGACGGAAUGACCGAUGGCGAAGGCAGCCCCCUGGGAUAACACUGACGCU